ensembl:lncRNA
AAUAUAGUUAAAGUAUACAUCAAUAUAUUUUAUAACUUUUUUCUGACAUUUAUUGAUCAAAAUACAGUCUUUGUAAAUGGAUUUCCAAAAGUAGAAAUGGUUACAAAUAAUAACAUUUUACUAAAACUCUCCUGUCUCUGUGUCAGUUUAAUGGUGUCAUCAUUUCAGUUUGGGUCUGUUGUGUUGAGGGUUUGGUAGGUGGAGUCUUGGGUUGUUGAGUUGAGGGUUUGGUAGGUGGAGUCUUGGGUUGUUGUAUUGAGGGUUUGGUAGGUGGAGUCUUGGGUUGAUGUGUUGAGGGUUUGGCAGGUGGAGUCUUGGGUUGUUGUGUUGAGGGUUUGGUAGGUGGAGUCUUGGGUUGUUUUGUAGGUGGAGUCUUGGGUUGUUGUAUUGAGGGUUUGGUAGGUGGAGUCUUGGGUUGUUGUGUUGAGGGUUUGGUAGGUGGAGUCUUGGGUUGUUGUGUUGAGGGUUUGGUAGGUGGAGUCUUGGGUUGUUGUAUUGAGGGUUUGGUAGGUGGAGUCUUGGGUUGUUGUGUUGAGGGUUUGGUAGGUGGAGUCUUGGGUUGUUGUGUUGAGGGUUUGGUAGGUGGAGUCUUGGGUUGCUGUGUUGAGGGUUUGGUAGGUGGAGUCUUGGGUUGCUAUGUUGAGGGUUUGGUAGGUGGAGUCUUGGGUUGCUAUGUUGAGGGUUUGGUAGGAGGAGUCUUGGGUUGUUGUGUCUGGAUUGGUGACUGGCCCUGUGGAACACAACAUAUAAAUCAUGUGUGUGUACGUGCAGUGGUGUGGUAGUGGUGUAGUAGUGUAGUGGUGUAGUAGUGUAGUAGUGUAGUGCUGUAGUAGUGUAGUAGAGGUGUAGUAGAGGUGUAGUGGUGUAGUGUAGUGUAGUGUUGUAGUAGUGUAUUAGAGGUGUAGUAGUGUAGUG